rnacentral:rRNA from 1 species
GAUGAACGCUGGCGGCGUGCUUAACACAUGCAAGUCGAACGGAAAGGCCCAAGCUUGCUUGGGUACUCGAGUGGCGAACGGGUGAGUAACACGUGGGUGAUCUGCCCUGCACUUCGGGAUAAGCCUGGGAAACUGGGUCUAAUACCGGAUAGGACCACUUCUUGGAUGUUGUGGUGGAAAGUUUUUUCGGUGUGGGAUGAGCUCGCGGCCUAUCAGCUUGUUGGUGGGGUAAUGGCCUACCAAGGCGUCGACGGGUAGCCGGCCUGAGAGGGUGUACGGCCACAUUGGGACUGAGAUACGGCCCAGACUCCUACGGGAGGCAGCAGGGGGGAAUAUUGCACAAUGGGCGCAAGCCUGAUGCAGCGACGCCGCGUGGGGGAGGACGGCCUUCGGGUUGGAAACUCCUUUCGCUAGGGACGAAGCGUUUUGUGACGGUACCUGGAGAAGAAGCACCGGCUAACUACGUG